rnacentral:rRNA from 1 species
GGCGCAAGCCUGAUGCAGCGACGCCGCGUGAGGGAUGACGGCCUUCGGGUUGUAAACCUCUUUCGCCAGGGACGAAGCGCAAGUGACGGUACCUGGAUAAGAAGCACCGGCUAACUACGUGCCAGCAGCCGCGGUAAUACGUAGGGUGCGAGCGUUGUCCGGAAUUAUUGGGCGUAAAGAGCUCGUAGGCGGUUUGUCGCGUCGUUCGUGAAAACUCCACGCUUAACGUGGAGCGUGCGGGCGAUACGGGCAGACUUGAGUUCGGUAGGGGAGACUGGAAUUCCUGGUGUAGCGGUGAAAUGCGCAGAUAUCAGGAGGAACACCGGUGGCGAAGGCGGGUCUCUGGGCCGAUACUGACGCUGAGGAGCGAAAGCGUGGGGAGCGAACAGGAUUAGAUACCCUGGUAGUCCACGCUGUAAACGUUGGGCGCUAGGUGUGGGCGACAUCCACGUUGUCCGUGCCGUAGCUAACGCAUUAAGCGCCCCGCCUG